UGCAGCAGUCACUGAUCCUGUUCUGUAAGGAUAAAUCACUAUUAAUAUGCUGUGAAUAAUCUGCAGGAAAUUUGAGAGGGAAUUUAAUUCUGAGCUUGAGAGUCUCGGGCCAAUUUUGAGCAGCAGUUCUCAAGCCGAGCCAUAUUUAACUCAUCCUGCUCAGUGGAUUCUUAGUGUUGGAAGGGACCAAUCGAGUGUCUAAAUGUAAUCAUCCUUACUGCAACAAAUGUUACCGAGCUGGACGGGCAAUGGGAUUGUCUGAUUGAAUUAACAAGUUCUAGUGGCCUUCUAGCAUUGGCGGAACCGUUUGUAUCUAAGCGCUUGAGAACCACUCAGUCAGAUGUAGAAACUGCUCAACCUCUAUCAAAACUGUGUCUUGAAUUCCCAGAUCUUUACAUAGGUUGCUAUCGUGAAUCCAGAACUGGUCCCCUUGUUAUUAGUUUUGAAGGCAAGGAUCAAUCAAGAGUAGAAGCAGCUGCGGAAGCACAUUGCAAGAAGUUUCAUCCUGGGGCUUUCUAUGAAAUCAAUUGACUUGAGGGGGGUGAAACUGCUCGUCUUUGAACCAUAGCCUGCUCGGGCAUUGACUGAGCUUUGUUGUAGCGGCGUCAGGCGGCCUUUCUAUCGGGGGAUUAAGAUAGUUGGUGGGUGGGUGGCAUUGGAAUUACAACGGGGGAAAGGUUUAUUUUAUUUUAUUUUAUUUUAAAAUCAUUAAGAAAAUAAUUAAAAAUUAAAAAUAGAACAAUUUCGGAACUUGUAAAGACCUUGAUUUAAUUUUUAGGAAGGGAAUUGUUAAGCACUGUUGUCAGGCUAGUAACAAGCGCACAAGACAAUGUAUUAGUUGUUGGGCAAAGGAAAGAAAUGUUGUUGCUGAUCCAAUUGAAA